rnacentral:rRNA from 1 species
AUUGAACGCUGGCGGCAGGCCUAACACAUGCAAGUCGAAUGGUAACAGGAAACAGCUUGCUGUUUCGCUGACGAGUGGCGGACGGGUGAGUAAUGUCUGGGAAACUGCCUGAUGGAGGGGGAUAACUACUGGAAACGGUAGCUAAUACCGCAUAACGUUGCAAGACCAAAGAGGGGGACCUUCGGGCCUCUUGCCAUCAGAUGCGCCCAGAUGGGAUUAGCUAGUAGGUGGGGUAACGGCUCACCAGGGCGACGAUCCCUAGCUGGUCUGAGAGGUUGACCGGCAACACUGAAACUAGGACACGGUCCAGACUCCAACGGAAGGCAGCAGUGGGGAAUAUUGCACAAUGGGCGCAAGCCUGAUGCAGCCCUGCCGCGUGUAUGAAGAAGGCCUUCGGGUUGUAAAGUACUUUCAGCGGGGAGAAAGGGAGUAAAGUUAAUACCGUUGCUCAUUGACGUUACCCGCAGGAGAAGCACCGGCUAACUCCGU